GUCCGCGGGCUUUAUUGCCUUUUAUUGGUGGGCGCAAUCAGAGAACUUAGAUAGAUAGAGAAGGUGCAAAUUUUUGGAACGUAAAAUUGUUUGGCUGAAAAGUAAAUCCAUGGAAUAUCACCACAUUGCGAUUAACAUUUGAACAAGAGUUAACAGCAAAAAACGUAUAUAUUCUGUUAUGAUAAUGUUAUGUUAUGUUGCAAGUGCCUGGCUGUGUUGCUAGGUUGCUGUUGAAUGCAGAAACAUAUUCAUGUAUAUGUUUUUAUAAAAUUAAAUAAAUUAAAAGUUAAAUUAUA